rnacentral:rRNA from 1 species
GCCAGCCCGCUCAGAAACUCAAAUGAAUUGACGGGGGCCCGCACAAGCGGUGGAGCAUGUGGUUUAAUUCGAUGAUACGCGAGGAACCUUACCUGGGCUCAAAUGUAUGUUGACGUAUUCUGAAAGGGAUACUUCUUCGGACAAUAUACAAGGUGCUGCAUGGUUGUCGUCAGCUCGUGCCGUGAGGUGUCGGGUUAAGUCCCAUAACGAGCGCAACCCCUAUCAUUAGUUGCCAUCAGGUCAAGCUGGGGACUCUAAUGAAACUGCCUACGCAAGUAGUGAGGAAGGUGGGGAUGACGUCAAAUCAGCACGGCCCUUACGUCCAGGGCUACACACGUGCUACAAUGGCCGGUACAAAGGGCAGCUACCUGGUGACAGGAUGCUAAUCUCAAAAGCCGGUCUCAGUUCGGAUCGGAGUCUGCAACCCGACUCCGUGAAGUUGGAUUCGCUAGUAAUCGCGCAUCAGCCAUGGCGCGGUGAAUACGUUCCCGGGCCUU